rnacentral:rRNA from 1 species
AUACGGAGGAUGCGAGCGUUAUCCGGAUUUAUUGGGUUUAAAGGGAGCGUAGGUGGGAUAUUAAGUCAGCUGUGAAAGUUUAGGGCUCAACCUUAAAAUUGCAGUUGAUACUGGUUUCCUUGAGUACGGUACAGGUGGGCGGAAUUCGUGGUGUAGCGGUGAAAUGCUUAGAUAUCACGAAGAACUCCGAUCGCGAAGGCAGCUCACCGGGCCGGAACUGACACUGAUGCUCGAAAGUGCGGGUAUCAAACAGGAUUAGAUACCCUGGUAGUCCGCACAGUAAACGAUGAAUACUUGUUUUCGGCGAUAUAAUGUCGGAGGCAAAGCGAAAGCGAUAAGUAUUCCACCUGGGGAGUACGCCGGCAACGGUGAAACUCAAAGGAAUUGACGGGG